rnacentral:rRNA from 1 species
GGACGAACGCUGGCGGCGUGCUUAACACAUGCAAGUCGAACGAUGAAGCCCUUCGGGGUGGAUUAGUGGCGAACGGGUGAGUAACACGUGGGCAAUCUGCCCUUCACUCUGGGACAAGCCCUGGAAACGGGGUCUAAUACCGGAUACCACUCCUGCCUGCAUGGGCGGGGGUUGAAAGCUCCGGCGGUGAAGGAUGAGCCCGCGGCCUAUCAGCUUGUUGGUGGGGUAAUGGCCCACCAAGGCGACGACGGGUAGCCGGCCUGAGAGGGCGACCGGCCACACUGGGACUGAGACACGGCCCAGACUCCUACGGGAGGCAGCAGUGGGGAAUAUUGCACAAUGGGCGAAAGCCUGAUGCAGCGACGCCGCGUGAGGGAUGACGGCCUUCGGGUUGUAAACCUCUUUCAGCAGGGAAGAAGCGAAAGUGACGGUACCUGCAGAAGAAGCGCCGGCUAACUACGUGCCAGCAGCCGCGGUAAUACGUAGGGCGCAAGCGUUGUCCGGAAUUAUUGGGCGUAAAGAGCUCGUAGGCGGCUUGUCACGUCGGAUGUGAAAGCCCGAGGCUUAACCUCGGGUCUGCAUUCGAUACGGGCUAGCUAGAGUGUGGUAGGGGAGAUCGGAAUUCCUGGUGUAGCGGUGAAAUGCGCAGAUAUCAGGAGGAACACCGGUGGCGAAGGCGGAUCUCUGGGCCAUUACUGACGCUGAGGAGCGAAAGCGUGGGGAGCGAACAGGAUUAGAUACCCUGGUAGUCCACGCCGU